rnacentral:rRNA from 1 species
UACAGAGGUCUCGAGCGUUGCUCGGAUUCAUUGGGCGUAAAGGGUGCGUAGGUGGCGUGGUAAGUCUGGUGUGAAAUCCCGGGGCUCAACCCCGGAACUGCACUGGAUACUGCCAUGCUUGAGUACUGGAGAGGAGAUUGGAAUUUACGGUGUAGCAGUGAAAUGCGUAGAUAUCGGGAAGAACACCAGUGGCGAAAGCGCUCUACUGGGCCAUAACUGACACUGAGGGACGAAAGCUAGGGGAGCGAAAGGG